UUAAUUGAGCCCCCCAGGCGUCCCAGAGGAUAUUUUAAAUUUAAAGUUUUUUCCGUCCCCAACCUUUAGCACUUUCCAUAAGCUCAAGCAGGUAACGAACGGAACAGGAGCCUCACCGACGUUGCUCUGUCGUGGUGGGCCACGUAACGUCACCGCUCCCAUCAGCAAGCGUGUGGCUCGGACGACGAACUAGACAGACGUGUGUUUCAGGGAGGAGAUUGCAACAGGGAGCGAAGGAUGGUGGUGGGGAGGGCCCUUCCGUCACUUCACCUCCUGUUGUAACUGUUAAGGUGCGAAUUUGCUGGUGUCUGAAAAGUUGGCCACUUAACCUAGUGUGGGGCCCGUGGCCAGUGAGGAGGAGGAGGAGGGAGAGGGAGGAGUUGCAGCCGGGCCCUGGAGAGUGGGCAGCACCUAGUGUGGGUGUUGUGGGUCCUGGGGCCACACGGGUCAGGGCGUCACCAUCAGGCAUUUGGAGAAAGUGGGGUAAGGCCUCAGUGUCCAGCACCCUGGCUUGGAGCAGGGUGGCCCGUGAGGCUGGGUUUACUGCCCUGGGCACUCAGGACGGAGGCUGGGACUGUGAGUGCAGAUGUCAGAGACCAGGAAGGGGGCUGACUGCGCCGAGGCUGGGCGCGAGGGGUCGCCCUUAGUGUGAGAGCGUGGGCCCCUUCAGUCUUUGCGAGUGAGAGUAAAUACAAGUGAACAAACUGAACUUGAACUUUGAGCAGUAGGUGAUACCCGAGGCUUGCUGGUUGCGCCCAUGCGGACCUGGCGGUGAAGGGCGAAGUCUCACGUCCACAGUGUGCAGUGUCUUCUGCCAAGACUGGAGCGUUGGGUACCUCGUCGACUAAGGAUGUGUGUCCUUCAGAGGGUAGAGGAGUGACGGGAACAGAGGUGACCGGGUAAACCUGGCAUUAACGAACGUGGUGGGGACCCAAGGACAUGAGCAGGACGGUGGGGCGCCACCAGAUAAGCUUUGGCCCUUCAGGGCGCUCGGAGUUUGUGUCCAGAGUCCAGAGGGGUGUGGCCCUUUGGCUGGGACCGCACGGAGGGAGCGAUUUGGGAGGUGAUUUGUGCAGGAUGAGCGGCUGGUGCUCCGAGAGACAGGGCUUCGGGGCCGGGAGGAGGGAGGGAAGGUCAAGAAUGGUCUGACUAAGAAGGGAUGCAGAGGGCCUGGUGCCGGGAGGCCGGCAUCCUGGAAGGGGGCGCCCCAGCUCUUUCAGCAGGGACGGAGGAAGGAAGGAGGCCUGAGUGCCGCGAAUAGGCGGACACUUAACAGAUUUUGGAAAGUGUCAGAGUACAGACAGGUGCCAGGUCUCUGGGCAGGUGAGUCAGUGUCAACCCCCGAUGGAGAGCUUGGCCAGGUCAGAGACACGUGUCGGUGAACCAGCAAAGCCACCUAGGUGGGUCCGAACAGACUGCUGUGGUCCCCGGGCUGGUGGCGGCCUUGCGGCUGCGGCAGUCAGAAGCUGGGCCGUUGCCAGUCCCGCCUUCCCGGGCCGCAGUGGUAGGGGGGCAGCUGCUAAUCAGGUCUGCGACACCUCCCUGGGAGGAUGGCCGGUGGGUUAGGAGACAUUGUCUGGACUUGAAAACACUUUGUACGGCCUUGAGUGGUGAAGGAACAGGGUGGUUUGGUCUUUCCUAGGUCUGAUACCGGUGGUCUGCAGAGUGCCGGGAGGUGUCGGGAGCUGAGUCUGAUUUCCUUCUGGACGCGGUUUGGACAGGGGCGAGCUGUGUCCCCGGCACAGAUCUCGGGUGCUGUGGCACCCGGAGUCUCGUCCCCGUGCGGAGCCUGCUGCACCGGCCACCGGCGGGGCUCUCCCGCGGGAGCCAGCGGUCCCGGGUGCGCGUGCACUCACAGCUCCCUCGGCCACUGGGCUUGGCAGGGCUGUUAUCUGGGUCUAGCAGGGACCCGAUUUCGGGGCUCUCGGCCGCUUCGCUCCGCCGUGGGUGUGAAGGCAUCAAGGAAAGCUCUCCUUUCCCAGGAAAGCAGUCCACAAAGCGGCCCAGAGCCCCUGGAACCCCUGGCCCAGAGCCCCUGGAACCCUGCCUGCAGGCUAGAAAGGCAUUUUGAAAUUGAUUAGACGCACAGGCCUCUGCGGGGGCGGCCUGCUCCAUCAAGCCAGCAAGGUGGGCAGUCUGCCAGCGGCACAGGCUCGUGAAACGCCAUCGCAGAGGGACAGCCAUCACCUUGGCCUCGCUCCAAAGGUCAGAAGCAAGUCUUCGUGCCCUUCACCCUCAAGGCGAGGGGCGGAACCCUGGGCCCCUGUAAGAGUUCCUGCCACACUGCCCAGGGCUGCUUCCUGUCCGCCGGGGAUGUGUGGGACUCCCUGGUCCGUCCCCAGGCAUGCUGUGUGCCGGGAGGCACAUCUCCUCGGCACAGGCACGUGCUGUGGCCUCAGCACUGGGGGGGGCCCGAAGGCUGCACGCGUCCAUGCCGGAGGGCCGGAGGGCCGCCUGCCUUGGGACAGCCAGGGGGUGGGCCCCAGGGCGGCCCGUGUGCUCGCCGGGUUCUGGAAGAGCCCAGCAUUCCUCUUCUGCCUGGCUACCCCUGGGGACUUGAUGAGAGCUUAUUUUCCUUCCCUGGAGAGUAACAUUUAAGAAACAAGAGCUGCCUGUGUUGGGUUUAGACAUCCUGUUGGCAACACGGGCUGGGAGGCAGGGUCCCAGAGCUCUGUGGGCGGUGUGGGCAGUGUCACUGUGGGAGGCUGUGUGCGCACUCCCCGGGGGCGCCCCAUCGUCACCAGGGGCCCACUCCUGUCAGUGGGCUGCUGCGGGGUGGGGGGGGGGACCCUUCCGGGGUGGUCUCUUCCCUCAGACAUCGGCUGGCACUAGGUUUCAAAGAAGACACCAAUUAGCAUUUUCUGUUUCAUUCUUCUUAAAAAUCUUUUUUAAAUAAA